rnacentral:lncRNA from 1 species
AAAAUUCAAUAUUUUCGUAGGGGUUAACCAAUAGAUUUUGAGAAAAAUUCAAAAAAAUAAAAAUUAUAUUUUAAUGCAUAGUUGUAUCCUUCACAAACAUAUGAUGAAGUUCAAAGAGGUUUGGAACCUUUGUUGUCUCCGUUUUUCUAGAGAAUAGCGAUUUUAUAGAGGUUAGUCAACCAAUUUAUGGAGUUUUCUGAAGUUUUACUAAAUUAAUUGACGAAAAAUUUAAACGACGCCCAUGUACCAUGAAAUUGAGUUUAAUAUACAUUAAUACAAAUUCAGAAUGUGUUUAGAAAUUUUAAAACAACACUAAAGAUCAUAUGCUUCAGUAUAUAGAUCAUUUACCGAAAAAUUCAAUAUUUUCGUAGGGGUUAACCAAUAGAUUUUGAGAAAAAUUCAAAAAAAUGAAAAUUCUAUUUUAAUGCAUAGUUGCAUCCUUCACAAACAUAUGAUGAAGGUCAAUGAGGUUUGGAACCUUUGUUGUCUCCAUUUUUCUAGAGAAUUGCGAUUUUAUAGUGGUUAGUCAACCAAUUUAUGGAGUAUUAUGAAGUUUUACUAAACUAAUUGACAAAAAAAUUAAAAGACGCCCAUGUACCAUGAAAUAGAGUUUAAUAUACAUUAAUACAAAUGCAUAAUGUGUUUAGAAAUUUAAAAACAACACUAAAGAUCAUAUGCUUCAGUAUAUAGAGCAUUUACCGAAAAUUCAAUAUUUCGUAGGGGUUAACCCAUAGAUUUUGAAAAAAAAUUAAAAAAUGAAAAUUCUAUUUUAAUGCAUAGUUGCAUCCUUCACUAACAUAUGAUGAAGGUCAAAGAGGUUUGGAACCUUUGUUUCUCCGUUUUUUCUAGAGAAUAGCGAUUUAUAGUGGUUAGUCAACCAAUUUAGGGAGUAUUAUGAAGUUUUACUAAAUUAAUUGACAAAAAUUUAAACGACGCCCAUGUACCAUGAAAUAGAGUUUAAUAUACAUUAAUACAAAUGCAAAACGUGUUUAGAAAUUUUAAAACAACACUAAAGAUCAUAUGCUUCAGUAUAUUGAGCAUUUACCAAAAAUUCAAUAUGUUCGUUGGGGUUAAUCCAUAGAUUUUGAAAAAAAAUUAAAAAAAUGAAAAUUCUAUUUUAAUGCAUAGUUGCAUCCUUCACGAACAUAUGAUGAAGGUCAAAGAGGUUUGGAACCUUUGUUGUCUCCGUUUUUCUAGAGAAUAGCGAUUUUAUAGUGGUUAGUCAACCAAUUUAGGGAGUAUUAUGAAGAUUUACUAAAUUAAUUGACAAAAAAUUUAAACGACGCCCAUGUACCAUGAAAUAGAGUUUAAUAUACCUUAAUAAAAAUGCAGAAUGUGUUUAGAAAUUUUAAAACAACACUAAAGAUCAUAUGCUUCAGUAUAUUGAGCAUUUACCGAAAAAUUCAAUAUUUUCGUAGGGGUUAACCCUUAGAUUUUGAGAAAAAAAUUUAAAAAAUGAAAAUUCUAUUUUAAUGCAUAGUUGCAUCCUUCACUAACAUAUGAUGAAGGUCAAAGAGGUUUGAAACCUUUGUUGUCUCCGUUUUUCUAGAGAAUAGCGAUUUUAUAGUGGUUAGUCAACCAAUUUAGGGAGUAUUAUGAAGUUUUACUAAAUUAAUUGACAAAAAAUUUAAACGACGCCCAUGUACCAUGAAAUAGAGUUUAAUAUACAUUAAUACAAAUGCAGAAUGUGUUUUAGAAAUUUUAAAACAACACUAAAGAUCAUAUGCUUCAGUAUAUAGAUAUCCGAAAAAAUUCAAUAUUUUCGUAGGGGUUAACCCAUAGAUUUUGAGAAAAAAUUUAAAAAAUGAAAAUUCUAUUUUAAUGCAUAGUUGCAUCCUUCACUAACAUAUGAUGAAGGUCAAAGAGGUUUGGAACCUUUGUUGUCUCCGUUUUUCUAGAGAAUAGCGAUUUUAUAGUGGUUAGUCAACCAAUUUAGGGAGUAUUAUGAAGUUUUACUAAAUUAAUUGACAAAAAAUUUAAAACGCCCAUGUACCAUGAAAUAGAGUUAAUAUACAUUAAUACAAAUGCAGAAUGUGUUUAGAAAUUUAAAACAACACUAAAGAUCAUAUGCUUCAGUAUAUAGAGCAUUUACCGAAAAAUUCAAUAUUUUCGUAGGGGUUAACCCAUAGAUUUUGAGAAAAAUUAAAAAAAUGAAAAUUCUAUUUUAAUGCAUAGUUGCAUCCUUCACUAACAUAUGAUGAAGGUCAAAGAGGUUUGAACCUUUGUUGUCU